UACGUAGGUGGCAAGCGUUGUCCGGAUUUACUGGGCGUAAAGAGCGCGCAGGCGGUCAGAUAAGUCGAAUGUGAAAGCCCCCGGUUCAACUGGGGAGGGUCAUUCGAUACUGUUCGACUCGAAGGCAGGAGAGGGAAGUGGAAUUCCCGGUGUAGUGGUGAAAUGCGUAGAUAUCGGGAGGAACACCAGUGGCGAAGGCGACUUCCUGGCCUGUUCUUGACGCUGAGGCGCGAAAGCUAGGGGAGCAAACGGG
rnacentral:rRNA from 1 species